rnacentral:rRNA from 1 species
UACGUAGGGUGCAAGCGUUAAUCGGAAUUACUGGGCGUAAAGCGUGCGCAGGCGGCUUUGCAAGACAGAUGUGAAAUCCCCGGGCUUAACCUGGGAACUGCAUUUGUGACUGCAUGGCUAGAGUGUGUCAGAGGGGGGUAGAAUUCCACGUGUAGCAGUGAAAUGCGUAGAGAUGUGGAGGAAUACCGAUGGCGAAGGCAGCCCCCUGGGAUAACACUGACGCUCAUGCACGAAAGCGUGGGGAGCAAACAGG